rnacentral:rRNA from 1 species
AUUGAACGCUGGCGGCAGGCCUAACACAUGCCAGUCGAACGGUAACAGGAAACAGCUUGCUGUUUCGCUGACGAGUGGCGGACGGGUGAGUAAUGUCUGGGAAACUGCCUGAUGGAGGGGGAUAACUACUGGAAACGGUAGCUAAUACCGCAUAACGUUGCAAGACCAAAGAGGGGGACCUUCGGGCCUCUUGCCAUCGGAUGUGCCCAGAUGGGAUUAGCUAGUAGGUGGGGUAACGGUUCACCUAGGCGACGAUCCCUAGCUGGUCUGAGAGGAUGACAGGCCACACUGGAACUGAGACACGGUCCAGACUCCUAAGGGAGGCAGCAGUGGGGAAUAUUGCACAGUGGGCGCAAGCCUGAUGCAGCCAUGCCGCGUGUAUGAAGAAGGCCUUCGGGUUGUAAAGUACUUUCAGCGGGGAGGAAGGGAGUAAAGUUAAUACCUUUACUCAUUGACGUUACCCGCAGAAGAAGCACCGGCUAACUACGUG